rnacentral:rRNA from 1 species
UGGGGAAUAUUGGACAAUGGGCGCAAGCCUGAUCCAGCCAUGCCGCGUGUGUGAAGAAGGCCUUUUGGUUGUAAAGCACUUUAAGCGAGGAGGAGGCUACUUGGAUUAAUACUCUAGGAUAGUGGACGUUACUCGCAGAGUAAGCACCGGCUAACUCUGUGCCAGCAGACGCGGUAAUACAGAGGGUGCGAGCGUUAAUCGGAUUUACUGGGCGUAAAGCGUGCGUAGGCGGCUUCUUAAGUCGGAUGUGAAAUCCCUGAGCUUAACUUAGGAAUUGCAUUCGAUACUGGGAAGCUAGAGUAUGGGAGAGGAUGGUAGAAUUCCAGGUGUAGCGGUGAAAUGCGUAGAGAUCUGGAGGAAUACCGAUGGCGAAGGCAGCCAUCUGGCCUAAUACUGACGCUGAGGUACGAAAGCAUGGGGAGCAAACAGG